AGAGUUUGAUCAUGGCUCAGAACGAACGCUGGCGGCGUGGAUAAGACAUGCAAGUCGAGCGGGAUUUUCUUUGGUAGCAAUACUGAGGAAAAUUCAGCGGCGAACGGGUGCGUAACACGUGGGCAAUCUGCCUUAAAGUGUGGGAUAGCUCGGCGAAAGCCGAAUUAAUACCGCAUGUGGCUACUGGAGACAUCUUCGGGACGCUAAAGGUGGCGCAAGCUACCGCUUUUUGAGGAGCCCGCGGCCUAUCAGCUUGUUGGUGAGGUAACGGCUCACCAAGGCGUUGACGGGUAGCUGGUCUGAGAGGACGACCAGCCACACUGGGACUGAGACACGGCCCAGACACCUACGGGUGGCAGCAGUCGAGAAUUUUUGACAAUGGGGGAAACCCUGAUCGAGCGACGCCGCGUGGAGGAUGAAGGUCUUCGGGUUGUAAACUCCUGUCAUUUGGGAACAAGGCGUACGUAUUAACUGUACGUGCGUUGAUAGUACCAGAAGAGGAAGAGACGGCUAACUCUGUGCCAGCAGCCGCGGUAAUACAGAGGUCUCAAGCGUUGUUCGGAUUCAUUGGGCGUAAAGGGUGUGUAGGUGGCGCGCUAAGUCGGGUGUGAAAUUUCGGAGCUUAACUCCGAAACUGCAUUCGAUACUGGCGUGCUUGAGGACUGGAGAGGAGACUGGAAUUUACGGUGUAGCAGUGAAAUGCGUAGAUAUCGUAAGGAAGACCAGUGGCGAAGGCGGGUCUCUGGACAGUUCCUGACACUGAGACACGAAGGCCAGGGGAGCAAACGGGAUUAGAUACCCUUGUAGUCC
rnacentral:rRNA from 1 species